AGCCGCGGUAAUACAUAGGGGGCGAGCGUUAUCCGGAAUUAUUGGGCGUAAAGCGUGCGUAGGCGGUUUAUUAAGUCUGACGUGAAAUCCCACAGCUUAACUGUGGAGGGUCGUUGGAAACUGGUAGGCUUGAGUACAGUAGAGGUAAGUGGAAUUCCAAGUGGAGCGGUGGAAUGCGUAGAUAUUUGGAGGAACACCAGUGGCGAAGGCGGCUUACUGGGCUGGAACUGACGCUGAUGCACGAAAGCGUGGGGAGCAAACAGGAUUAGAUACCCUGGUAGUCCACGCCGUAAACGUUGAGCACUAAGUGUCGGGAAUAAUCUCGGCGCUGCAGUUAACACAAUAAGUGCUCCGCCUGGGGAGUACGGUCGCAAGACUGAAACUCAAAGGAAUUGACGGGGACUCGCACAAGCGGUGGAGCAUGCGGUUUAAUUCGAUGCAACGCGAAGAACCUUACCAGGUCUUGACAUCCCACUGACCGAUCUAGAGAUAGGUCUUCCCUUCGGGGCAGUGGUGACAGGAGGUGCAUGGCC
rnacentral:rRNA from 1 species